rnacentral:tRNA from 1 species
GGGCCCAUAGCUCAAUGGUGGAGCAGGCGGCUCAUAACCGCUCGGUUCUUGGUUCGAGUCCGAGUGGGCCCACCA